rnacentral:rRNA from 1 species
GAUGAACGCUGGCGGCGUGCCUAAUACAUGCAAGUCGAGCGAACAGACGAGGAGCUUGCUCCUCUGACGUUAGCGGCGGACGGGUGAGUAACACGUGGAUAACCUACCUAUAAGACUGGUAUAACUUCGGGAAACCGGAGCUAAUACCGGAUAAUAUAUUGAACCGCAUGGUUCAAUAGUGAAAGACGGUUUUGCUGUCACUUAUAGAUGGAUCCGCGCCGCAUUAGCUAGUUGGUAAGGUAACGGCUUACCAAGGCAACGAUGCGUAGCCGACCUGAGAGGGUGAUCGGCCACACUGGAACUGAGCCACGGUCCAGACUCCUACGGGAGGCAGCAGUAGGGAAUCUUCCGCAAUGGGCGAAAGCCUGACGGAGCAACGCCGCGUGAGUGAUGAAGGUCUUCGGAUCGUAAAACUCUGUUAUUAGGGAAGAACAAAUGUGUAAGUAACUAUGCACGUCUUGACGGUACCUAAUCAGAAAGCCACGGCUAACUACGUG